rnacentral:tRNA from 1 species
CCGCCCAUAGCUCAAUUGGUAGAGCAGCUCGCUCUUAACGAGACGGUUCCAGGUCCGAGUCCUGGUGGGCGGA